GACGAACGCUGGCGGCGUGCUUAACACAUGCAAGUCGAACGGAAAGGCCCUGCUCUUGUGGGGCGCUCGAGUGGCGAACGGGUGAGUGACACGUGAGUAACCUGUACUUGUCUUUGGGAUAACUUCAGGAAACUGGGGCUAAUACCGGAUAGGAGCUCCUGCUGCAUGGUGGGGGUUGGAAAGUUUCGGCGGUUGGGGAUGGACUCGCGGCUUAUCAGCUUGUUGGUGGGGUAGUGGCUUACCAAGGCUGUGAAGGGUAGCCGGCCUGAGAGGGUGACCGGGCACAUUGGGACUGAGAUACGGCGCAGACGCCUACGGGAGGCAGCAGUGGGGAGUAUUACAGAGUGGGCGGAAGCCUGAUGCGGCAACGCCGGGUGCGGGAUGACGGCCUUCGAGUUGUAAACCGCUUUCUCCGGUGACGAAGCGUGCGUGACGGUAAUUGGUAAGGAAGCACCGGCUAACUACGUG
rnacentral:rRNA from 1 species